AACAGGUUGAGCUGUGUGGUGAUGAUAUAAGUCCUGUUAAGCAUCUCAGGCUGAGAGUAUCUACUGGUGUUCGAGAUGAGGAUGAAGCAUUGCUGCGCAACAUAGUUGAAAAGGCUGAGAAGUAUGGUAUAGCUCUAACUGUAGCAGCAUAUCUUUGUGAUCAAGAAGCCAAUCCUCCACCUCCAUCAAUAAGAGUAACUGCCAAUAAGGAUUUGACCAAGGAAGAAAUCAGUAAAGCUUUUAAAGCACUACAGCAAGCAAUUGAUGAUGUUAUAGAGUAACCUAAGGUAUGUCGUAUGGGCAAAGAUCCAUCAGUGCUUUUAGGACUGUUGGUGAUUUGCAGUUUAUACAUUUAAUGUAGUAAUUUCUGGGCAAUUUCAGCUAACGGUAUUUGCAAGGAUCUUCAGUGAUAGGACAUGACACCUGGUUACUCUUCUGAUACACAAAGCCUCAUUUUAAUGAGCAAGCUGUUGGCAUGUAAAGAAAGCUAACAUUACCUGUUGGUAAUUGAAGCGUAGAAUACUUUGUGCCUUUAAGGUUGCUUAAAAGAGAAGAUGGUUUUGUGAAGAAAUGUCUCUUAAAAAAUGCUGAAUUUCUGAGUAUUAUGCACUCCGCAACUUCUUAAGAGCGCCAUAGUGAGCGUAUGUAGUUACAGGGUAUCUAUUUUGGUAUUGAACAGUCCUGUUAAAGUUCUUCCCCAAAUUUUUCCAUUAAAGUUUCAUGAUAGAGUUUCAGAAGGUUUUAUAAAUUUUCUGUACUUUAUAAUGCCAAAGAAUGUGGAGAUAUUUAUAUUUUCUGAUGUCAGACUGAUCUGUUACAACUAAGGAUACAGUUGGAAGUAGCUGUGUAUUUCAGUAAUUUUAUUUCCCAGUUGAGGUUAUGUAGAACAUUUUAUUAUAAGUGUAAUAUGCAAGUAGUGUUUAGAAUGAUAAAAGCUCAUUGAAUAUGGAUGUGCCUUUUGUGAUAUAGUCAUAUUUUCUACUUCUAAUCAUGCAUCAACCAUUCCAGUGUGUAUCAGGAAUGGCCCGUAAAGACGCUUUUCAGUCAAGAAAAUUGGAUUCUCAAUUAAAUGGAGAGAUUAUAACUCUGUCUAUAUUCACUUGCAAAUUGUCAACUCUUUGGGUGUUUCCAUAGUCAGUGAAUGAGUGCUAUUAUGUAUAUUAUUUUUGAGGCAUGUUUCAUUUAUUGUAGCAUUGUAUUCCAUCCAUAGUCAAUCUUUACAGAUUAUUAUAUAUCCAGUCUUAUCAUUCCAUUAUUGUGCGCAUAAAGCAGGUUUCAUGGUUGUCUUGUUUUUGUCACAGACCUCUUGUACCUAAUGUAUUGUACCUAAUUUUCAUCACCCCUACAUAGUUAUAUUAUCCCUGUAUCAUUAUAUUCAAGUGGUCCAUCCAAUAUUUAUUUUUUCCAUCAGCUUCAUGUUGUUUCAAGUUACAGUAUGUGCCAUAUGUACUUCAAAAGUGUAUGGAUUUGCCCUUGCAAUCUUGAAUCCCUGUCUCCAAAGAAAACUGGCCUAUGGUGUACUGACAUUUGACUGCUGCUUUUAGAGUUUCAUUGGUAAUUAGAAUGCCAAAUAAGAAAAUGUACAUUUUUGUCAGGAACUCUUGGGUAAUUUAUGUAACAUACCAGUAUUAAUUAUAUAUCUUUAUAAAUCAUUUAGUGUAUGCAUAUCAGUAGUUAGAAUUGUUUGUAAUAUUCCCUCUUGACUUAUCAUGUAGAAUCUCUUAUUCAACACGUGCAAUAGUCAAUUCUUUACAAAUAUGCUUUGGCUAAACUACUUACAAUAAUAUUGUAUAGUCUUUUGCAGUCUGGAAGCUCAUUCAUUGCAUUGCAGUCAUUCAUUAUGUUAGGGUACACCAACUAUACAGUUAUUGAUGGUCUUUACUGGGAAAACAGGUUCAAUAGUACUCCUUGGGAAUGGUAUACUGUAUUUUGUUCAGUGUGCUUUUGCUUACAUUUGAAAGAGAUGCUGACACAAAAUACCAGGAGUACUUUAAUUUUUGUGUUGUGUUCUUACAGAGAUGAGGCUUCGAUGAGGCUUCAGUUGGGUAUUUUGUCAGCUUUUGGGUGAUUAAAUGCCUUCAUUAGAAUUGUAUCCAUUGAGUAGAAAAAUGGAAGUUGUCAUCCAAAACAUUAGAUUUUAUUGUAUCUUAAGAUUUAUCUUUAGGUUGACAGAUAUCUUCAAGCUUAUCUAAAGGACUAUUAAUAUUAUGAUUAAUAAGAUAUCUUACCUGGUAAUUAUUUUAAUUAACUGUUCAAGAUCUUUUGCAGUUUCAUUACUUUUAUGUAGACACUGUUUAUGUAUGGAUUGGUGAAGAGGGAUGUUUAUGUAGUGUUUACGUUGUUCGUGUGCAUGGGAUAUUUACCAGACCAAAGGAAGAAAGUUGUGUAUAAUACGCAUUCAACUUGUAAGUGUGGGGUGGUCAUGAUGUUUACUACUCCUAAAACGGAGUACUUUGAUAGGUCACAAAGUACAGUAUAUUCAAGACUUGAAAGGUGGUUGAAUUAUUUUUGUUACUCUCAUUGUAGCUUUUGUCAGCAGAAUUAAUUUUGAAGAAAAUUGUCCACUGGAAAUAUGGGUUUUCCAUUUGUUAAUGCAAUGUAUAGUAAACAUUUUUUUAUAUUGAAUUGUAAGUUUUUAGAAAUAAAAUAUGGGAUUUCUUUUUAGAAGUAAAUUAUGGGGCUUCUUGUUUUUGCAAAAAAAAAAAAAAAAUAUUUCUUGGUGUGGGACAUGAAAGUUAUUCUGGAAGGAGUGUGGUAAAAAAUUUAAUUGAAAUUUGGGAGUAAAAGAGUGAAGUUCUAAACCAGUGUUUUAACAGGAUUUCAUGGACAUGUUUGUUGAAUGAAAAACAAAAAGGAAUUAUGGAUUUGGCUAAUCGAUUAACUAAUUAAUGAUUAGGUUUUGGCACACAAGAUGUAAUUUGUCAGAUGGAUGACCAUUUUUAAUAAUGGAUUUUCUCUUUUCACAAUCUGGGAAAUAUGUAUACUAUAAGCAUGUGGCAGUUUAUAUUCUUUUUGUAUUACAGCACUAUUAUUAUUUGAAUUCUUUGAUCAAUUUAUAGAUCAAUUUAUAAUGUUGGCAGGAUUUGUAAUGCUUGGUUCAAUUGAGAUUGGUUCUAUUUCCUUUAAAUUUUGAUAGUAAGGAAGGGUUCUGAAAGCUUAAAGCAUAUUGACUUUCUGAAAGCGUCAGAAGUCAGUGUGUAUAUAACUGCACUAGAUAGUGAACUUGAAAAUGGGCAGUUUUUCAGUUUACUUCUGAAUAGGGUGUGCACUGUUCAGAUAUUUUUUUAUUUCAAUUUUGUUCAGUCAUAGUCAUACAUUCGCAUUUUAGUGAAUUAUUAAUUCUUAGUCAGUUGCAAGCUUACACUGCACGUGGACUUCAUGCAUACUUGAAAAAGAUUUCUUGAUUACCUAGUGAUGCACUUUUGGUCUGUAAAGAAAAUCAAGUUUUGUAGUUUUGAGUUUAAUUACUUUACAAUCUGAAUGCUAUUUCUGUCCUUGAUGAGUAUUUACGUUUUUUGUUAAAUUGUAUUUUAAUUGGUAAAAACCUAAAAAGUUCAUUUUAUAAAGAGAAAUAAUUUUAGUAUUCCUGUAAGUUGUUUGUAUUUUAACCACUUAUGAAUGUUUUAUGUUUAAAUUUUGUCAAAAUGUGAAGCUUAUUGAUGUGCAGAAUGGAGAAGUAAAUCAUCAGUACUGUAUCAUUGGUAAAAAGGAUUAACCCAUGAUUUAAUUUAGUAGUAUGACAAUGAAUAAUGUCAUUAUUAGUGGUAUAGAGAAGUGAAUUCACAACUUCACUGUUCUUGAUAAUGGGUAAAUCAACAAAGUAUUGGAAGAUUGGAAAAUUCACAAUUAUAUAACAAAGGGUAAAUAUAUGUGAAAGCCAUAAUUUAGUCCUAAAUUUCAAUAUCACACAUAUUGAGGAGUGAAUUCGUUUUUUUUUUUUGCACAGAUUGAUUGUCAGUGCAUAAAUUUUAUAGUUUCUCAGUCCUAACAUUGUCAGAAUGUCAAGGGCUCUUGUAGGCUCAAGAAAAUGACUAAUAAAGGCACAAGUUUGUAAUUACUAGCCUGCAGCUCCAGCAUUUGUCUUGCUGGUAACUGUAGUAAAAGCACAUAAUCAGGAGAGAAAGAGAGAGUACACUAAAUGAUGCAUGAAAUGUGAUAGAUUCAUGGUACACUGGAUGAUGUAUUGAUUUAUACAUUGUACACUUUUGUACAGUACUUCAUACUUAAGGGGGUUCUUUUGUCUUACAUUUAAUUAAAACAUUAUAAGUGCAUAUGUUCAUCACAAUGUCAAAUUCAGCAAAAAGUUAAAAUUUUCUUUUGUUCUCAACUGUAAUUCUUUUGCAAUGAAUUAUGUAUAGAA